CCUACGGGAGGCAGCAGUGGGGAAUAUUGGACAAUGGGCGAAAGCCUGAUCCAGCAAUGCCGCGUGAGUGAUGAAGGCCUUAGGGUUGUAAAGCUCUUUUACCAGGGAUGAUAAUGACAGUACCUGGAGAAUAAGCUCCGGCUAACUCCGUGCCAGCAGCCGCGGUAAUACGGAGGGAGCUAGCGUUGUUCGGAAUUACUGGGCGUAAAGCGUACGUAGGCGGUUAUUCAAGUCAGAGGUGAAAGCCUGGAGCUCAACUCCAGAACUGCCUUUGAAACUAGAUAGCUAGAAUCUUGGAGAGGUGAGUGGAAUUCCGAGUGUAGAGGUGAAAUUCGUAGAUAUUCGGAAGAACACCAGUGGCGAAGGCGACUCACUGGACAAGUAUUGACGCUGAGGUACGAAAGCGUGGGGAGCAAACAGGAUUAGAUACCCUGGUAGUCCACGCCGUAAACGAUGAUAACUAGCUGUUCGGGCUCUACGAGCUUGAGUGGCGCAGCUAACGCAUUAAGUUAUCCGCCUGGGGAGUACGGUCGCAAGAUUAAAACUCAAAAGAUAGUAGGACGUGAGAGAGCGACGACGACGACGACGGAGGAGGAGG
rnacentral:rRNA from 1 species